UCGAGAAUCUUCGGCAAUGGGCGCAAGCCUGACCGAGCGACGCCGCGUGCGGGACGAAGGCCGUUGUGUUGUAAACCGCUAUCAGGGGGGAGGAAAUGUCGGCCCUCAGGGUCGGCUUGACCUAUCCCCAGAGGAAGGACGGGCUAAGUUCGUGCCAGCAGCCGCGGUAAGACGAACCGUCCGAACGUUACUCGGAAUUACUGGGCUUAAAGGGUGCGUAGGCGGCUUUGCAAGUCGGAUGUGAAAUACCUCGGCUUAACCGAGGAACUGCAUUCGAAACUGCAAAGCUCGAGAGAGAUAGAGGUGAGCGGAACUUGGGGUGGAGCGGUGAAAUGCGUUGAUAUCCCAAGGAACACCGGAGGCGAAAGCGGCUCACUGGGUCUUUUCUGACGCUGAGGCACGAAAGCUAGGGUAGCAAACGG
rnacentral:rRNA from 1 species